rnacentral:rRNA from 1 species
AUUGAACGCUGGCGGCAGGCUUAACACAUGCAAGUCGAGCGGAGAUGAGGUGCUUGCACCUUAUCUUAGCGGCGGACGGGUGAGUAAUGCUUAGGAAUCUGCCUAUUAGUGGGGGACAACAUUCCGAAAGGAAUGCUAAUACCGCAUACGCCCUAAGGGGGAAAGCAGGGGAUCUUCGGACCUUGCGCUAAUAGAUGAGCCUAAGUCGGAUUAGCUAGUUGGUGGGGUAAAGGCCUACCAAGGCGACGAUCUGUAGCGGGUCUGAGAGGAUGAUCCGCCACACUGGGACUGAGGCACGGCCCAGACUCCUACGGGAGGCAGCAGUGGGGAAUAUUGGACAAUGGGGGGAACCCUGAUCCAGCCAUGCCGCGUGUGUGAAGAAGGCCUUUUGGUUGUAAAGCACUUUAAGCGAGGAGGAGGCUCUCUUAGUUAAUACCUAGGAAGAGUGGACGUUACUCGCAGAAUAAGCACCGGCUAACUCUGUGCCAGCCGCCGCCGUAACAC